GUGGGGGAUAUUUUUCAUCUGAGAGUUUGAUCCUGGCUCAGGACGAACGCUGGCGGCGUGCUUAACACAUGCAAGUCGAACGGAAAGGCCCUGCUUUUGUGGGGUGCUCGAGUGGCGAACGGGUGAGUAACACGUGAGUAACCUGCCCUUGACUUUGGGAUAACUUCAGGAAACUGGGGCUAAUACCGGAUAGGAGCUCCUGCUGCAUGGUGGGGGUUGGAAAGUUUCGGCGGUUGGGGAUGGACUCGCGGCUUAUCAGCUUGUUGGUGGGGUAGUGGCUUACCAAGGCUUUGACGGGUAGCCGGCCUGAGAGGGUGACCGGCCACAUUGGGACUGAGAUACGGCCCAGACUCCUACGGGAGGCAGCAGUGGGGAAUAUUGCACAAUGGGCGGAAGCCUGAUGCAGCAACGCCGCGUGCGGGAUGACGGCCUUCGGGUUGUAAACCGCUUUCGCCUGUGACGAAGCGUGAGUGACGGUAAUGGGUAAAGAAGCACCGGCUAACUACGUGCCAGCAGCCGCGGUAAU
rnacentral:rRNA from 1 species